rnacentral:lncRNA from 1 species
CGUGCACGUCGCUGACCCCAUCCGAUGGCCCAAUUCACCCUGGAGGCUUCUCCAGGUAAACGAACCAAGCUCCAUAACUAUCAAAGUUGAUGAUUUGCUUGCGGCAAUGCAUGCUGAUGAUUUGUGUGUGUGCCGGGGACAGGUCGCCUGGGAUGAGCCGGACCUGUUACAGAACGUGAAGAGGGUGAGCCCAUGGCUGGUUGAGCUGGUGUCGAACAUGCCGGUCAUCCAUCACCUCACAGCCACGCCCUUCUCGCCGCCCAGGAAGAAGCUGUGCGU